rnacentral:lncRNA from 1 species
GUGCUGAGCUGUGCUCCUUUGCCCAGGGCUCAUGGAGGCAGCCCAGGAAGGAGGCUUGUGUAUAGAAUUGGCUCUGUAAACAAACCUGACCUGACAGGUUUCUGUGUGGUCUCCCCAUCCCUUCAGCGUCCCCUGCCUCUGCUUCUGUGGGAUGGAGUGCCGAGCCCCUCUUCUUUUUGGAUGUACGCAGCUUAAAAGAUCAGAGUCAACAAGUUUUAUCUCAAUGUGCUAGAUACGAUCAGAGUCCUGUUUCGUGAGGCUCCAUACAAGGACAGUAUUAUAUCCAAUCUGCCUCGCAAAGCACCUGCAACUUGACAAACUGGAAGGGAAACAGCUGCAAGAAGUGCCUUGCCAAAAUUCCCCCCACAGCCCGAGUACUGAGCCAGAAGCAUUGACCAGGUAUCUCAGUUCCUGCUGUCACAUGCUCAAGUAGGCUUGCUCCAAGAUGAUGCAUGGAGAGACCAAGAAGUAGGGAGAGAGGAAAUUCUGCAAAUACCUGUGAAAUGGCAUCUCAAUCAGAAACCAGGGAAAACAGAGAGACUGCUUUAUGAAAAAAAAGCUUGCUUGAGUUGCUGUGGCAAUCACAUGGCUGGAUGCUGGAUAGGAACAGUGUUGAAAAUUGCUGGAUACAGGCCACUUAUAUAUUAGAAUAGAGAAAAUAUGGGUGAAAUCAGAGCCUUGCUGAAAUCAGGGAUAAUCUUGCCAUUUGAUGUAUUGUGAAGCACCAGUUGCCAAGCUUGACUUCAAUCAAAUGUCAUUACCACAGUUCAAGAGCAUCCAUCUCAGUUUUGGCAUAGUCAUCACAUUUUGCUGUUUACAGCUUUGUCUGUGAUACAUUAAUAACCACUGGGGCUCUGACUGUAUUUCGCUGGCUGUGAAGCUGAAGUUGAGUCACGCACAGGAGGGCUGCCUGCCUGACAUAGCUCAGCUAACACCCCUAGAAACAUUUCUUGGUGUGCAAGGCUGCCAGGACCUGUGAGGAUAAGGUUUCACCCCUGUGCACAGGAGGCAUGAUUAGUAUGUUCAGUGCUGAAAUGCAUGCUUCCCUAUCUACCAACAAAGGGCGGGCUCUGAAUUCCCAGCUGAGGAAGCAGAAGGUUUACUUUAGGAGGCUCCAUUGAUGCAAAUGUAUUUUAAACCAGCUUUUUAUUCCAAGUGGUGUUUGGUGAUAUAUCAAAAUUGUCUGUUCCGUAGGUCUGCUGGAACCAGCAUUCCACAUCUCUAGAAAUCCACUGCCAACACUCUUU